AUCCAGCUGCAGUUUCUUCUCAUGACGUGUCGUUCGCUGCCUGUGGAGCACGAACGAAAUAAGCACCAUCUAUUUCGUGGAAAGAGUCUCCUACGCGGAACGAUACGCUGUCGGUGCAGUUAUCUUGUGCCACAGAGAGGCAGACGGGCUCAUCAAUGAGCACUUGAGCUUGUCUCCAGCCGAUUCGCUCAAAGCGCUUGGUCAACUUCGCGGAAUCCAGAUCGAGGAUUUUCCGCGGGAGCUCGAACAGCGAGUGCGCUCUUGUUGAAAACAUUCAAUCCGCACCGAUACCAGGCAGUGGCGAUCUCGCUGUUCGAAUCUGUAACCUAUUACGCGGUGAAAGCCGCAGGUGGGAAUUACGACGGUGUAUGGGCUAUUCUGUUGCAAUCAUUACCUGUAUGAAACGAGCACCGCUGUUUUGAUGCCUCCAGAGGGCAGGCGUCCGCGUCAACAUCCCAAUUCCGUCACAAGAUCGCAAAGAUGAUCAUUUGUGUACGCUUAGAGAGCACCCUGAGAUCGCGUUCAGUACGUGCAUGUUUGACACUCAGGGCGCUUCUUGCGUGUGAACACCGCAAAGUCCGCUAGCGAAUGCGUGCGCGGUGAGCUCGCAAACCACUCAUGAACGCAUGUAUCGAUAUUUGCGAAAUAUCCACCAUCAGACGAAAUCUUGUGCCCAUGUGUCCGGAUACAGGCGAAUGCACCGAACGUAGUGACAGCGCGAUGCGCUUCUGCACUUUUCGCUGCAUCGAACGCAGGUGGACAGGAAGCAAUGCAGAACAUCGCCAGCGCAUUUGAUCCUUUGUAGCCUUCUAUUCGGAUCACGCGUACCAGGAAGAGUGCCAGGGUGAUGCCUUGUGGACAAGCACCGCAGCCGAGAGCGCUGUCAUCUGCUCCGGCAUCGGCACCGCUCCGAAACAUUGGAGAGGUCGAAAUCAGCUCUCUGUGGGCGCACGAUUGUUGACACGACGCCAAAUGCCGCGUAUCUUGUGGUUCAACGCGCCGCAGGUGGCAUGGAAUACUGCUGGACUUGGGCAGGUAUUGUUUAUGGUAAGUGAGGAAUGGAUCUAGUCAGCGUCCACGAAUGGUAUAAGGCUAUACUCGGUGAUAUCGACAAACAGACCACCAUUAUCUUUCGACAAUUGCCCAGGAGAACCGUUCCGGUCUUGAAUAUGCGGUAUACCGAGCUCUCUGCAUUCCUGCACAGUUCAAUACUACCGCUCUGCUCCAGGCGAGAAUCAAAAAACUCCUUUCUCCAGGUCACGGACUUGUUCAUCAGAGCUCCUCAGCGUUUCACCACAAAUCUCGCACUGCGCGCAGAGUGACUCCCUCAGGAGGCUCCAUCGAGCACACAGUCGUUGGAUGGUCCCCAAGCGCGAGACAUUUCCAGACUUGUUUCGAGGCGUUGACGUCUCGGUGGUGCAGAGGGUGCUCGCGUGCCUCCUUGCUCAUGGAGAUGCAUCAUAGCGAGCAUCACGCCUGCGAUUGGCUCGGCAUCUGACGUUCGAUAAACUUCCCGCACAAGACCUCGUGCGCCC